UAAUUCUAGUGGCGGACGGGUGAGUAACGCGUGGGUAACCUGCCUUAUACAGGGGGAUAACAGUCAGAAAUGGCUGCUAAUACCGCAUAAGCGCACAGAGCUGCAUGGCUCAGUGUGAAAAACUCCGGUGGUAUAAGAUGGACCCGCGUUGGAUUAGCUUGUUGGUGGGGUAACGGCCCACCAAGGCGACGAUCCAUAGCCGGCCUGAGAGGGUGAACGGCCACAUUGGGACUGAGACACGGCCCAGACUCCUACGGGAGGCAGCAGUGGGGAAUAUUGCACAAUGGGGGAAACCCUGAUGCAGCGACGCCGCGUGAAGGAAGAAGUAUCUCGGUAUGUAAACUUCUAUCAGCAGGGAAGAUAGUGACGGUACCUGACUAAGAAGCCCCGGCUAACUACGUGCCAGCAGCCGCGGUAAUACGUAGGGGGCAAGCGUUAUCCGGAUUUACUGGGUGUAAAGGGAGCGUAGACGAUGUGGCAAGUCUGAUGUGAAAGGCAUGGGCUCAACCUGUGGACUGCAUUGGAAACUGUCAUACUUGAGUGCCGGAGGGGUAAGCGGAAUUCCUAGUGUAGCGGUGAAAUGCGUAGAUAUUAGGAGGACACCAGUGGCGAAGGCGGCUUACU
rnacentral:rRNA from 1 species